rnacentral:rRNA from 1 species
GAUGAACGCUGGCGGCGUGCCUAAUACAUGCAAGUCGAGCGAACAGACGAGGAGCUUGCUCCUCUGACGUUAGCGGCGGACGGGUGAGUAACACGUGGAUAACCUACCUAUAAGACUGGGAUAACUUCGGGAAACCGGAGCUAAUACCGUAUAAUAUAUUGCACCGCAUGGUGCAUUAGUGAAAGACGGUUUUGCUGUCACUUAUAGCUGGAUCCGGGCGGCAUUAGCUAGUUGGUAAGCUAAAGGCUUACCAAGGCAACGAUGCGUAGACGACCUGAGAGGGGGAUCGCCCACACUGGAAUUUAACCACGCACAAGAUUCCUAAGGGACGCACCAGUAGGGAAUGUGCGGCAAUGGUGGAAAGUCUGGCGGAACAACCUCGCGUGGGUGAGAAAGGUCUUAGGAUCGUGAAGCCCUGUUAUUAGGGAAGAACAAUUGUGUCCUUACCUAUGCACGUAUUGACGGUACCGAAUGAGAAAGCAACGGCUAACUACGUG